CUCUCUCGUUUUAAGGCUAUCACGUCAGUAAUUAGACUCCUUCGUAAGGCUGCCCGGUGCUGCUCCUCCACCGACUGAGAUGCUGAAGUUGAUGACAAAGACUGGAACUUGGAUUGAGAUUUGUAGAUUUUCUCAAAUAAUUGCAAAGAAUCACUUUCAGGAAUCAACCACACCACUCUGUCUCCUCCAGGGUAUCCUCGCCUGUUCAUCAUAAGUUUCUUCUAUGAACUUCCCAUAUUUCUUAAGGUCGGUUAUGGAUUAUUUGAUAAGAUUUUAGUUUCUUGGUUUUGAAUUUGUUUUCAUAAAACGAUUUGUUGCUUUCUUUUUUACAUUUGUUUCAGUGGACCCUCAUGUCUGCCGCUGUCAAUGUUCACAGGCUCGCAACUUAACGACACCGCUUCAAGACUGCAACGGGAGAGAUGGCUCAGAAGAUAGUUUUUCAGGCACUGAGAGAAGCUAUGGUCACUGAAACAGUUGUUCGUCAUUUCAGAACGUUUGCCAAACUGAGAAAAUCAACACAAGCUGAUUGUCCGGCUGCGUUCUUUGAGGAAUUCAUCGAAUUUCAGAGACAGAUAUCUCAAACUAUGAGUUAAAUCGCUUCCAUUGAGCCACCUGUUUCAUCAGCUAAUGUGAACAAAUCUAAGGAUGGAUCUUCUUCAAUAUUUGACGAAAUUCAGCACGACUCUAUUGAUCAGGAGAAACCCGCGUCUAAGAGAAGAAAUACAGCUCAGAAUCAGCACUCAGCAGCAAACCAUAAUCAUAUGAGAUCAAACGAUGAGAACAAGAAACCAUCACUUGCUCCUCCUUCCGGGUUAGGAAUACAGUAAAUUUGACUAAAGAUAUAGAGUAAGAAGCUGCAAAUUGGUUCAUAAAGUUUAUGGAAAAAGCUUUGGAGAAGGGGAUGAAGAAGUGUAAAGGCACGGGUGAUGCAGAUGUUAAAAAGUUCCACUGUCUCAGAUUUUUCCAAGUUGUAAACUAGGUGGAAGCAAAACAGGCUGCUGAUAGCACGAGAUAACAGGUACAUCCAAAAGCAUCAUAAGCCACUAGAAAGCUCAGAAUCAAAAUGAAGAAUUUAAACAUGAUUCUUUUAUAUUGUUCUCACUUCUAUUCCAAAGGCUCCUUAGUUUCCACUUCUUAUCGAUAAUUUUAUUCAUGGAGUCUAUUGUUGUUAAUCAAGUUUAUUAUACAGUGGCUGUUCUCAAAUGUCA